rnacentral:rRNA from 1 species
UACGUAGGCAGCGAGCGUUGUUCGGAGUUACUGGGCGUAAAGGGUGUGUAGGCGGUCGUUUAAGUUUGGUGUGAAAUCUCCCGCUCAACCGGGAGGGUGCGCCGAAUACUGAAUGACUUGGAGUGCGGGAGAGGUGAGUGGAAUUCCUGGUGUAGCGGUGAAAUGCGUAGAUAUCAGGAGGAACACCGGUGGUGUAGACGGCUCACUGGACCGUAACUGACGUUGAGACACGAAAGCGUGGGUAGCAAACAGG